CCCUCCACUAACAGUAGUUGGAUAGUUCCAAUCUGGGAGUCAUAACUCAUAAUACUGACCAGUACUCUUACGGAAAGCCUCGAUAAGUUCAGUAACCCUCUUUUGCUUGACUUAAUCAGCAACAUCAUCAACAUAGUUCCCGUGGGCAUGGAUCUUUUUCUUCAUGCUAUAUGCAAACAUGUAUGCCAUAUCAUAACCAACAGCCCUGAUAAGACUUAUUGUGUCUUUGUGUUCCUCUUCUGUUUCUCCACAGAAACGUCCACGAAGUCGUUGUAGUCCUUUCACCAUAAGAAGAAAUCCACCUUACAUCAUAUUAGGGUUACGCUUUGCUUCUCUCACCCCUCCAUGCACAACAUCCCCUCCUUUGCUGAACCUUCAAGUGUUCCACAUAUAACAUCACUGCUAAUC
rnacentral:misc_RNA from 1 species